UACGGAGGGAGCUAGCGUUGUUCGGAAUUACUGGGCGUAAAGCGCACGUAGGCGGCUUUGUAAGUUAGAGGUGAAAGCCCGGGGCUCAACUCCGGAACUGCCUUUAAGACUGCAUCGCUUGAAUCCAGGAGAGGUGAGUGGAAUUCCGAGUGUAGAGGUGAAAUUCGUAGAUAUUCGGAAGAACACCAGUGGCGAAGGCGGCUCACUG
rnacentral:rRNA from 1 species